rnacentral:rRNA from 1 species
UGAUCAGCCCUGCCGCGUGUGUGAAGAAGGCCUUCGGGUUGUAAAGCACUUUCAGUCGUGAGGAAGGUGGUGUAGUUAAUAGCUGCAUUACUUGACGUUAGCGACAGAAGAAGCACCGGCUAACUCCGUGCCAGCAGCCGCGGUAAUACGGAGGGUGCGAGCGUUAAUCGGAAUUACUGGGCGUAAAGCGCAUGCAGGUGGUUUGUUAAGUCAGAUGUGAAAGCCCGGGGCUCAACCUCGGAAUAGCAUUUGAAACUGGCAGACUAGAGUACUGUAGAGGGGGGUAGAAUUUCAGGUGUAGCGGUGAAAUGCGUAGAGAUCUGAAGGAAUACCGGUGGCGAAGGCGGCCCCCUGGACAGAUACUGACACUCAGAUGCGAAAGCGUGGGGAGCAAACAGGAUUAGAUACCCUGGUAGUCCACGCCGUAAACGAUGUCUACUUGGAGGUUGUGGCCUUGAGCCGUGGCUUUCGGAGCUAACGCGUUAAGUAGACCGCCUGGGGAGUACGGUCGCAAGAUUAAAACUCAAAUGAAUUGACGGGGGCCCGCACAAGCGGUGGAGCAUGUGGUUUAAUUCGAUGCAACGCGAAGAACCUUACCUACUCUUGACAUCCAGAGAACUUUCCAGAGAUGGAUUGGUGCCUUCGGGAACUCUGAGACAGGUGCUGCAUGGCUGUCGUCAGCUCGUGUUGUGAAAUGUUGGGUUAAGUCCCGCAACGAGCGCAACCCUUAUCCUUGUUUGCCAGCGAGUAAUGUCGGGAACUCCAGGGAGACUGCCGGUGAUAAACCGGAGGAAGGUGGGGACGACGUCAAGUCAUCAUGGCCCUUACGAGUAGGGCUACACACGUGCUACAAUGGCGCAUACAGAGGGCAGCAAGCUAGCGAUAGUGAGCGAAUCCCAAAAAGUGCGUCGUAGUCCGGAUUGGAGUCUGCAACUCGACUCCAUGAAGUCGGAAUCGCUAGUAAUCGGGGAUCAGAAUGCCACCGGUGAAUACGUUCCCGGGGCCUUGGUAC